GAUUGCAUUGUGGAAUUUGCAUCCAUUAUUCAAAGAAAGGGCGACAUUCCAAGCACUCACACUUUCUCUCCUUGCUUGCUAAAUUGGCUGACAAGCUAAAGAAGUCGGUGGAUGAUGAAAUUCAUUUUCUCAAGGCAAGGGUUUCAGAACUUGAAAGUGAUCUUGUGUCGAAGUCCAUAGAAGUUACAUCUGCAGUUUCAAGGAAAGAAAAAGCACUAUCUUCUGCAUUUGCUGAAAUUAACCGUCUGAAGGAAGAAAAUUCUAUAAAAACGUGAGCAUUAUUGAAUGCAUAUGGAGGGUGUUUACUGUGUUGGAGUGUAUUUGUUUCUUGCACAUGAGGGCAUGCCUUAGUUGUAAUUCUUAUGAUAAGUUAAGCACAGUGAAGUAUUGUUUAUUUAGAAAUGUGAAUGUAGGAUGCAUUGUAUGAUUUGAUUGCUAUUUGUAAUAAAUGCAUCAAUUUUGUUUUUUUUU